rnacentral:rRNA from 1 species
CCUACGGGAGGCAGCAGUGGGGAAUAUUGGGCAAUGGGCGCAAGCCUGACCCAGCAACGCCGCGUGAAGGAAGAAGGCUUUCGGGUUGUAAACUUCUUUUGUCGGGGAACAAAGGCGGAGACGCGUCUCCGGAUGAGUGUACCCGAAGAAAAAGCAUCGGCUAACUGCGUGCCAGCAGCCGCGGUAAUACGGAGGAUGCGAGCGUUCUCCGGAUCUAUUGGGUUUAAAGGGUGCGCAGGCGGGAGAUCAAGUCAGCGGUAAAAUGUCGGGGCUCAACCCCGGCCGGCCGUUGAAACUGGUUAUCUAGAGUUGGAGAGAGGUAUGCGGAAUUCGUGGUGUAGCGGUGAAAUGCAUAGAUAUCACGAAGAACUCCGAUUGCGAAGGCAGCAUACCGGCUCCAUACUGACGCUGAGGCACGAAAGCGUGGGGAUCGAACAGGAUUAGAUACCCCAGUAGUC